CACGCAGCGCCGCUGGUUGUUGUGGUCGACUUGUUUGGUUUCCUGGAAGGUGCAAAGCCUCCACCAGCAGGAGGGGGACGCGGCGCGCCUGGCAAAGCAUCUGAGAUUGUGUCGGAGUGGAGCGCAGCGGGAGGCUGAUGAAUGUAGCGGGAAAAACACGUCCCCAUUGUUACGGAAUCAUUUUUUUUUUUUGCCUUUUCAGAGUUUUAUGUGGAUUCAAGCUGUGAUUUUAAAUAUUCAUAUCAUUUGCCGAGAUCCUGCGUUUACCGCCGAGGACGUCUCGGUUUCCAGAGGGUGUGGAUUUGCAACGGGACAAUAAACCCGCCGCCUCCGGGGGAAACGAGUCCGCUUGUAUUAAUACUUUCUGUGCGGGUUGCUGUGGGACGGUUGCCGUUUCGCCGCAUCGCCGCAGGAACCCGUUAAAAACCCACCAAAGGGAACAACAUAAGAAUGUAUUUAGGAUGAGGCAGCCAGCAGCACCGGAGUCCCGUUAGGUCUCUGUGUCCGUCCCCGUCCCUCGGCGGUGUUCAUCUACGAAGCAUAAGCAUUUUAUCGCCGUCCUUUGCGUUUCCUUCCGGGGGGGGGUGGGCGGCCUCGCCAGGAGUCUCCUUUGUGCCUCGCCUCCCCUCGCAGGGCGAGCGGUCCCUUUUGUUUCCACCGUCAUUGUUUCAGAAUCGCCCUGUCGGCCAUUUUUUCCCUCGAGGCCGACCGUUGGAUAAAAGGACAUCAUCUCCCGCCGUGGUCUUCUGCUCACGUGUGACAGCAAAGAAUGAGCAAAAAGAGAAACAAUACUUAAGAACUCUGGUAUUGUUCUUUACCUCGUUUCCCAGGGGCACCGUUAUAUAUUUUGCUGGGCCCGUUCAAGGUUGCUGAGAUGAUUAAAAAGGGUGGAGAAGAAACACCGGCCGCUACAUGUUUGCCGUCACAUAAUUAACUCACUUUUCAAUGUACCGGACCGAGGUUUAUGAAAUGAAAAGUCAGCAGCGUCAGCUUUUAGUAACGAGGGAUCAAACUUCAUUCAUGCUUGUUUGCAGAGAGUCUCAGUGCUGCAGCAGAACCCGGAUAGUCGAUGUGUUCCACUUAAUUGUUUGUAAAACUUACUGUUGUAAGCAGUAAGCAGCGGAGACGAUGCACAGAACAAGUUUCGGUGCUCAACUUCCUCUAAAACUCUGAACAAAGUCAGUUAACGGAAUAGAACAUAUAUAAUAACAUCGCUACCGGUCUGCUCACGCGAUCAUGUGCUUCAAUGUCCACCUGCAGAUAGUGGAGAGUACAUUCCUGCAUGCAUGUAUGCACGCAUGCAAAUGCAUCGGAUGCUAAUAUUAGCGUUGCAGAUUUUAUAUGGGAAAGAGCAGGAAAGUGAACCCUUCGCUCCCUGACUUGAUGAAGACACAGUAGAGAAUAGAUUAGAUGGUCACCUGACCACCCGUAUGCUUGUUUUUGUAACGCUUAGUCCAUUCAGCCGAUUUCCCCUCACAUAUGUCUUUAAUGGAUCCUAAAAAUGUGAAAACGCGCGACGCCCGCUGUGAGCACUGUUGUUCAACCACCUCAGGAUAGCAAACGAUGUCAGAUCAUCUCCUUUUAUAGAGUGUUAAACUAAAGCUAAUCGACCAUUGUAGUGAAAAAUCCCCAUUGUCAAGGCCGUCCAAACGAAAGGACGUCUCCUCACCACGGCCUCCCUGCAGGUCGCUGCGUCCUUGUCUUCUCACACAUGCACAGCAGAGAGACAUCCUGUAUACAUCCAGUGCCUCAUCUAUACUUGCUUUGCAUAAUAUUUGAAUAUGUUUUUGGGUGCUGUGGGAUUUUAUGCAUGAAUUUUAAAUUCAGUGGUUUUGAAUGCAAACGGUUCAAUGUGUCGUCUCCCAGGCAACACUUUGUUUGAUUCAUUUUGCUUCAUAUUUUGUCCUGGAAGCUAUUCAAUUAAUCCAUUAGUUAUUUAAUUGGAAUUUUCCGUGUAAAAAAAAUAAAAUAAAAUGUUGUUCAACAUAAAACAUUUUUAGGUGAAUUCAGGUCAUAUUAUAAACGAGGAAGAGGUCUGUUUGUGUGCAGACUCCUUUAUCAUCAAUGCAUCUCACAUUCAAUGUGACCACGGAUAAUUAUUUUCACGUCCAGCGCAGAAGUUGACUGAUUGAAGUGUCUCAUCUCCUGGUGAAGAGGAUCUCAGCUGGACUGGAGACACGACGAGGACACACUCGUCACGUCCCCAGUCCACCUGUGGGAGCAUCUCCUGCUCUUUUUGUGUGUGUGUGUGUGUGUGUGUGCACGCUCAGGCCUUGCUGUCCAUACACCUUAUUUAAUAUUCAUAUGCAUGUUCUGCUGUGCCACUGCGAUGCAUCAGAAUACGUGUAUUCUAAGCUAUUCGUAUUUCUCAGGCCAACGAACGUGAACGCUUAAAUCCGCGUGUAUGAGCAGCAGUUUGUGGCUCACGUCCACCUCCGGAUGAACUUUUCACAGCACCUCCCGUGAGCUCAAAUCCAUAUUUAGCUGGUCCUCCACGGACCUGAAAUAAACAGUAAAUGUCGU
ensembl:lncRNA